GUCUUUGAAGCUCAGUUGGCUACAGAGUUGGCUGUUCUUAAGCAUUCCCCUCGCUGGCGUGGGUUCGAAUCCCACCGAAGUCG
rnacentral:tRNA from 1 species